rnacentral:sRNA from 1 species
CAUUACCGAGAGAAAGGGGUCUAACCGGCCCCACUCUUCACCCAUGUAUAUCUACCUCUGUUGCUUUGGCGGGCCGCCCGAGCCUAUCGGCUCGGGCGCUGGUCGAGGGGUUCACGCCCCCAGCCCGGUGAGCGCUCGCCAGAAGCCCCCACUAAAAACCUUUUAUCAUGACGUCUGAGUGAAAAUAAAUAGUUAAAACUUUCAACAACGGAUCUCUUGGUUCUGGCAUCGAUGAAGAACGCAGCGAAAUGCGAUAAGUAAUGUGAAUUGCAGAAUUCAGUGAAUCAUCGAAUCUUUGAACGCACAUUGCGCCCUCUGGUAUUCCGGGGGGCAUGCCUGUCCGAGCGUCGUUACAACCCUCAAGCACUGCUUGGUAUUGGGUCCCGCCUCCCCGGCGCACCCGAAAUGCAGUGGCGGUCCGGCGAGACAUCGAGCGUAGUAAGAUUUAUAUCCCGCUCUUGAUGGCUCUCGCGGUGACUUAGCCAACGACGUAUCUAUUAUCACGAUUGACCUCGGAUCAGGUAGGGAUACCCGCUGAACUUAAGCAUAUCAAUAAGCGGAGGAAAAGAAACCAACAGGGAUUGCCUCAGUAACGGCGAG